ensembl:lncRNA
AUAAUCAGCAUCGACGUGCUUUCUUUUUCUUUUUUUUUGGUGGGCUAGUUGGCUCUUAAGCCAGUCAGUCAGCUGCGAUCAAGAGGCCGAGGCAGAACAACUCCACAUCAAUCACCAAGGAGCUCCACACUGCCUCAGCACUCGCACUAUUUAUGCUUGAGCACACAUUACGGAAGGCCCCCUCAUUCUGUCAGUACAAAUCAGGUUGCAGCAAAGACGAACGACAGCGUUGAUGCUAUCACAGACUGGAGAAGCGAGAAAGGUGUCGCACUGAAGCAGGACCGAAUCUUUGAAGACUCCGGCCAUGACGUCUUUCCUGCUGAAGCCGUCUCCUGAUGGAAAACAGCAUUCCAAUCUGAAGGGAGAGUCCCUCUCAUCAUCUCCCAA